rnacentral:misc_RNA from 1 species
AACGCACAUUGCGCCCACUAGUAUUCUGGUGGGCAUGCCUGUUCGAGCGUCAUUUCAACCCUCAAGCCUGGCUUGGUGUUGGGGCUCUGCGUCUGCAGUCCCUUAAAUCCAGUGGCGGACACGCUAGGUCUCCGAGCGCAGUAGUUUCUCCUCGCUCAGGGCGUCCGGCGUGGGCUUGCCUCGCACCCAUCUUUUACACGGUUGACCUCGGAUCAGGUAGGAAUACCCGCUGAACUUAA